GCCGGUUUCCCUAGAUGAUCUUCACCGGUUGUCCUGGGUGACCGGCACGUUUACUUUGAAAAAAUUAGAGUGCUCAAAGCAGGCGUGUAGCCUGAAUAAUGGUGCAUGGAAUAAUGGAAUAGGACUUCGUUUCUAUUUUGUUGGUUUUCGGAACACGAGGUAAUGAUUAAGAGGGACAGACGGGGGCAUUCGUAUUGCGACGCUAGAGGUGAAAUUCUUGGACCGUCGCAAGACGAACUACUGCGAAAGCAUUUGCCAAGAAUGUUUUCAUUGAUCAAGAACGAAAGUUAGAGGUUCGAAGGCGAUCAGAUACCGCCCUAGUUCUAACCAUAAACGAUGCCAACCAGCGAUCCGCCUGAGUUCCUCAAAUGACUCGGCGGGCAGCUUCCGGGAAACCAAAGUGUUUGGGUUCCGGGGGAAGUAUGGUUGCAAAGCUGAAACUUAAAGGAAUUGACGGAAGGGCACCACCAGGAGUGGAGCCUGCGGCUUAAUUUGACUCAACACGGGAAAACUUACCCGGCCCGGACACUGGAAGGAUUGACAGAUUAAGAGCUCUUUCUUGAUUCAGU
rnacentral:rRNA from 1 species